GUGCAAAAUAUUAUGUCAAGAAAUAUAAACAAAAUAGCCGACUUAAUUGAACUUUGUGGCCUUUUUUAUGAAAACAUAUUAUUUGUCAGCACGCCAAAGCUGUGACGCUAGCCAAUCACACGGCGCGUAAUUUGUUCUACAUUCCAAGGUUGUGACGCUGGCCAAUCAGUUUUCAUGUACUCUCUUUGAAUCACGAUAUGGCGCGCAAGCAUAUGACCGUUACAUAUUUCGACAUCAUACUGCAGUUGUGUGGACGUGUAGCGUGCAGCCGACAUCAUUUUACUCAAAUAACAGAAGAGUUUACAAGACCUCACAGAUGACGAAACCCCACUCAGCAAUGAUUCAUACAGGAAUUGAGGAGGAGCCAAAGUCAGCAUGGAUUGUCGAACCAGUAUGGAGGAGUUAUGUAUGACUUUCGAAGAUGCUUCAGUUUGAAAUCUUUCGGACAGUACUCGCAGUGCCGUAGCUGGUGCAUGACCAAGUGAUUGAAGACAGUUCAACAAUGAUGGGCAGAGUGGAACUGAAAAAAAAGCAGAUGAGGAGACGGACCUUUUCAGUUUCGCAGCGAGGUCUAGUAACUUCGUAAUCGGGCAAGGUGAUGGAUGUUGCUGCUUGUUGAGUUUUUCAUCUCCUGUCAAGUUUGCGCCUGAAAGAAGAGGUGAUGGAGGGACACACUGAGGGCCCAUGCACCUUCACAUUCAGUCGUACCUUUGGACUGUGUUAAAUAUUUCAAUAUUGGAACAGUUGAUUAAUAGUAAUUGUU